UGAUAGAGAACUAACCCUUUGAAUUCUGUUUUUGUCCAUAGUUACAACACAGUCAAUUGAUACAGAAAGCACUGCUGGAGUCUUCUAAGGCUGUAAAAGCAGGAAACUGCACUGGCAGAUGUUCACAGUUCCUUUCCAUAUUGCACUUCUCAAGAAUAUGGAAGUCUUCAAAUGCAACAGUUCAAACAACUUGAGGAUUAUCAUGGAGAUAAAGACUGAGAGACAUGAACUGGAUGGAGCCUGAGGAAAAAAAAAGAAUAAA